UAUUUAGUGUAUUUUAAACUAAUACAUUUGUUUUUUUGUAUAUUUCAAGUCAACUUCAAGAUCGACAUGGAAUGUUAGGUAUGUUCAAGUAUAUAAACCGGGUAAAGACUGAGCAGUAAAAAGAGUGGGAGUACGAGCUACACGUAUAGUACCAAACUUAUGCAUCUUCUACUGAAGCUCUAAUCAGUCCACCCCCGGAGUUUGUGAAAAGAUAAACGAGUGGCACUGGCUCUGCGGUCAUUUUUUGAGCUCGAAAUUUCUGAAGCUAAAUAGGGUAACUCGGAAGCGAAGCAGUACCUCCAUCAUUCUAGCUUUCGGGCCCUCACUUUUAGGGUCAAAGGACGGCUUGAGACACAUUUUUUUAUGGAAACCAGAUUGUUGACGACAUUUAUGCUUCUAUUUCACAAAAGCAUGACGAGUGUCUCGCCAAACUCUCCUAGCAGCAAUCAGACUCACCUACGGAGCAACUAACACCUGAUCUAAA